UUCUUAUACCCUUAAUUAUAAGUAAAAUCUGCUCAAUGAUAUUUAAAUAGCCGCAGAAUUUUAACUGUGCUAAGGUAGCAUAAUCAUUUACCUCUUAAUUGGGGGUUUGUAUGAAAGAUUUUACAUUUAAAUUAUUUUUUUAUUAAAUUAAAUUCAAAUUUUAUUAGAAAUAAAAAUAUUUUUAUAAAUAAAAAAGACGACAAGACCCUAUUGAACUUUACUUAAGUUAAGCUGGGGAAGCUAAUUAAAUACCAUUUUAAUAACCUAAUUAAGAUAAAUUUCUGGAAACCCAAUUUUGAAUAAGUUACCAUAGGGAUAACAGCGUAAUAAUUUUUAAAAGUUCUUAUUUAAAAAAAAGUUUACGACCUCGAUGUUGAAUUAAAUUUACUUUAAAACGCAAUAGUAUUAAAAGCAGGUCUGUUCGACCUUUAAAUUUUUACAU
rnacentral:rRNA from 1 species